rnacentral:rRNA from 1 species
AAAACGACUCUCGGCAACGGAUAUCUCGGCUCUCGCAUCGAUGAAGAACGCAGCGAAAUGCGAUACUUGGUGUGAAUUGCAGAAUCCCGCGAACCAUCGAGUCUUUGAACGCAAGUUGCGCCCGAAGCCUUUCGGCCGAGGGCACGUCUGCCUGGGUGUCACGCA